CCUACGGGUGGCAGCAGUGAGGAAUAUUGGUCAAUGGCCGGGAGGCUGAACCAGCCAAGUCGCGUGAGGGAAGAAGGUCCUAUGGAUUGUAAACCUCUUUUGUCAAGGAGCAAAGUCAGGCACGUGUGCGUGUUGGAGAGUACCUGACGAAAAAGCAUCGGCUAAAUCCGUGCCAGCAGCCGCGGUAAUACGGAGGAUGCGAGCGUUAUCCGGAUUUAUUGGGUUUAAAGGGUGCGUAGGCGGGUUAUUAAGUCAGCGGUAAAAUCGUGGGGCUCAACCCCGGCCAGCCGUUGAAACUGGGGAUCUUGAGGGGGCGAGAAGUAUGCGGAAUGCGUGGUGUAGCGGUGAAAUGCAUAGAUAUCACGCAGAACUCCGAUUGCGAAGGCAGCAUACCGGCGCCCGACUGACGCUGAGGCACGAAAGCGUGGGUAUCGAACAGGAUUAGAUACCCGUGUAGUC
rnacentral:rRNA from 1 species